UACGGAGGAUGCGAGCGUUAUCCGGAUUUAUUGGGUUUAAAGGGUGCGUAGGCGGUGCGCCAAGUCUGAUGUGAAACCCCGGGGCUCAACCCCGGGCAUGCAUUGGAAACUGGCGGGCUGGAGUGCCGGAGAGGUAAGCGGAAUUCCUAGUGUAGCGGUGAAAUGCGUAGAUAUUAGGAGGAACACCAGUGGCGAAGGCGGCUUACCGGACGGCAACUGACGCUGAGGCUCGAAAGCGUGGGGAGCAAACAGG
rnacentral:rRNA from 1 species